rnacentral:misc_RNA from 1 species
AAGGAGUCUAACAUCUGUGCGAGUUUUAGGGUGGGCAAACUUGACGGCAAAUUGAAAUCAAAUGCUGUGAUAAUUGCAUAAGCAACUGACCAAUUGACAGUAUAAUGUUUGAGUAAGAACAUAUGUGUUAGGACCCGAAAGAUGGUGAACUAUGCUUGAAUAGGGUGAAGUCAGAGGAAACUCUGGUGGAGGCUCGUAGCGGUUCUGACGUGCAAAUCGAUCGUCAAAUUUGGGUAUAGGGGCGAAAGACUAAUCGAACCAUCUAGUAGCUGGUUCCCGC